GUGUCAGCCGCCGCGGUAAUACGAAGGGGGCUAGCGUUGCUCGGAAUUACUGGGCGUAAAGGGAGCGUAGGCGGGUUAUCAAGUUGGAGGUGAAAGCCCAGGGCUCAACCUUGGAAUUGCCUUCAAAACUGAUAGCCUAGAGUAUGAUAGAGGUAAGUGGAACUCCGAGUGUAGAGGUGAAAUUCGUAGAUAUUCGGAAGAACACCAGUGGCGAAGGCGACUUACUGGAUCAUGACUGACGCUGAGGCUCGAAAGCGUGGGGAGCAAACAGGAUUAGAUACCCCUGUAGUC
rnacentral:rRNA from 1 species